rnacentral:rRNA from 1 species
AGAGUUUGAUCAUGGCUCAGGAUGAACGCUAGCGGCAGGCUUAACACAUGCAAGUCGAGGGGUAUAGUAGCAAUACUAGAGACCGGCGCACGGGUGCGUAACGCGUAUGCAAUCUACCUUUCACAGAGGGAUAGCCCAGAGAAAUUUGGAUUAAUACCUCAUAGUAUAGCAGCUUCGCAUGAAGCCACUAUUAAAGUCACAACGGUGAAAGAUGAGCAUGCGUCCCAUUAGUUAGUUGGUAAGGUAACGGCUUACCAAGACUACGAUGGGUAGGGGUCCUGAGAGGGAGAUCCCCCACACUGGUACUGAGACACGGACCAGACUCCUACGGGAGGCAGCAGUGAGGAAUAUUGGACAAUGGGCGCAAGCCUGAUCCAGCCAUGCCGCGUGCAGGAUGACGGUCCUAUGGAUUGUAAACUGCUUUUGUACAGGAAGAAACCCUUUCACGUGUGAAAGAUUGACGGUACUGUAAGAAUAAGGAUCGGCUAACUCCGUGCCAGCAGCCGCGGUAAUACGGAGGAUCCAAGCGUUAUCCGGAAUCAUUGGGUUUAAAGGGUCCGUAGGCGGUCAGGUAAGUCAGUGGUGAAAUCCCAUCGCUCAACGGUGGAACGGCCAUUGAUACUGUCUGACUUGAAUUAUUAGGAAGUAACUAGAAUAUGUAGUGUAGCGGUGAAAUGCUUAGAGAUUACAUGGAAUACCAAUUGCGAAGGCAGGUUACUACUAAUUGAUUGACGCUGAUGGACGAAAGCGUGGGUAGCGAACAGGAUUAGAUACCCUGGUAGUCCACGCCGUANACGAUGGAUACUAGCUGUUGGGAGUGAUCUCAGUGGCUAAGCGAAAGUGAUAAGUAUCCCACCUGGGGAGUACGUUUCGCAGAAUGAAACUCAAAGGAAUUGACGGGGGCCCGCACA